rnacentral:rRNA from 1 species
GAUGAACGCUAGCGACAGGCCUAACACAUGCAAGUCGAGGGGCAGCACGAAGUAAGCUUGCUUACUUUGGUGGCGACCGGCGCACGGGUGCGUAACAGGUGUGCAAUCUGUCCAUAAUCGGGGAAUAGCCCAGCGAAAGUUGGAUUAAUGCUCCAUGUGAGCCGAGGAGGCAUCUCUUUGGUUUGAAACGCAAGGAUUAUGGGUGAGCACGCUUCUGAUUAGGUAGUUGGUGAGGUAACGGCCCACCAAGCCGACGAUCAGUAGGGGUUCUGAGAGGAAGGUCCCCCACAUUGGAACUGAGACACGGUCCAAACUCCUACGGGAGGCAGCAGUGAGGAAUAUUGGUCAAUGGACGGAAGACUGAACCAGCCAAGUCGCGUGAAGGAUGAAGGUUCUAUGGAUUAUAAACUUCUUUUGUCUGAGGGUAAAACAGCGGACGUGUCCGUUCUUGCAAGUAUCAGACGAAUAAGCAUCGGCUAACUCCGUGCCAGCAGCCGCGGUAAGAC